rfam:Ictidomys tridecemlineatus contig119281, whole genome shotgun sequence.
GGGCAUGUAGCUCAGUGGCAGAGUACUUGCCUAGUAUGCAUGAAGCCCUGGGUUUGAAUUCUAGCAACCCA